GUGUCAUGUAGACUCGUAAACUCUCGGGAUAUAGUGAAGCAGUAUGCUAGUUGUCCAAUACGCUCGAUGAUUCGAAAUGGUCCCGCAUAACGAGGGCUUAACUUCCCUCUUUUUUUUAACUGCAUCUUUUCCUUGUAGGGAAAAACCUUGAGGAAAACCUGGUCGCCCACAGUGAAUUCCAAGGGUCACCUACGAUUGUCAGUGUAACUCUUUUGAUAACUUUGUGUAGU
rnacentral:lncRNA from 1 species